rfam:Brachypodium distachyon strain Bd21 chromosome 2, whole genome shotgun sequence.
UAAGUACUCCCUCCGUUCCAUAAUUCUUGUGUAAAUAUUACAUGUAUUUAGACACUUGUUGGGAAUAGAUACAUCCAUUUUUAGGCAAAUUUGAGACAAGAAUUAUGGAACGGAGGGAGUAACAA